UACGUAGGGUCCGAGCGUUGUCCGGAAUCAUUGGGCGUAAAGAGCGUGUAGGCGGCCACUUAAGUCCUGCGUGAAAUCUUGCGGCUCAACCGCAAGCGGUCGUGGGAAACUGGGUGGCUAGAGUGCGGGAGAGGAGAGUGGAAUUCCUGGUGUAGCGGUGAAAUGCGCAGAUAUCAGGAGGAACACCUAUUGCGAAGGCAGCUCGCUGGGACGUAACUGACGCUGAGACGCGAAAGCGUGGGGAGCAAACAGG
rnacentral:rRNA from 1 species